rnacentral:misc_RNA from 1 species
GAACGCACAUUGCGCCCGCCAGUACUCUGGCGGGCAUGCCUGUCCGAGCGUCAUUUCAACCCUCGAACCCCUCCGGGGGGUCGGCGUUGGGGAUCGGCCCUCCCCUAGCGGGGGCCGUCUCCGAAAUACAGUGGCGGUCUCGCCGCGGCCUCUCCUGCGCAGUAGUUUGCACACUCGCAUCGGGAGCGCGGCGCGUCCACAGCCGUUAAACACCCAACUUUCUGAAAUGUUGACCUCGGAUCAGGUAGGAAUACCCGCUGAACUUAAG